GGGGGGGGCAAGCGUUGUUCGGAAUUACUGGGCGUAAAGGGCUCGUAGGCGGCCAACUAAGUCAGACGUGAAAUCCCUCGGCUUAACCGGGGAACUGCGUCUGAUACUGGAUGGCUUGAGAUUGGGAGUGGGAUGCGGAAUUCCAGGUGUAGCGGUGAAAUGCGUAGAUAUCUGGAGGAACACCGGUGGCGAAGGCGGCAUCCUGGACCAACACUGACGCUGAGGAGCGAAAGCCAGGGGAGCAAACGGGAUUAGAUACCCCGGUAGUCCUGGCCCUAAACGAUGAAUGCUUGGUGUGACGGGUAUCGAUCCCUGUCGUGCCGAAGCUAACGCAUUAAGCAUUCCGCCUGGGGAGUACGGUCGCAAGGCUA
rnacentral:rRNA from 1 species